rnacentral:rRNA from 1 species
CGGACGGGUGAGUAAUGUCUGGGAAACUGCCCGAUGGAGGGGGAUAACUACUGGAAACGGUAGCUAAUACCGCAUAACGUCGCAAGACCAAAGAGGGGGACCUUCGGGCCUCUUGCCAUCGGAUGUGCCCAGAUGGGAUUAGCUAGUAGGUGGGGUAACGGCUCACUUAGGCGACGAUCCCUAGCUGGUCUGAGAGGAUGACCAGCCACACUGGAACUGAGACACGGUCCAG